rnacentral:tRNA from 1 species
AGAGAAAGACGAUUAAAUUAAGAUUAAAAUUGUGAUUUAUUCUUUAGCUGUUAAUUUAAAUCUAUUAUAGUAGAGUCUCAUAGCUCAGCUGGUUAGAGCGCUACACUGAUAAUGUAGAGGUCGGCAGUUCGAGUCUGCCUGAGACUACUAAAUAAAGGAAAUUCUGGAAGUUGAGUAGUGGUUAUAGUCUAACUACUAACUACUAUGUACUACUACUAGUAUAUGGGGGAUUAGCUCAGCUGGCUAGAGCGCCUGCCUUGCACGCAGGAGGUCAUCGGUUCGACUCCGAUAUUCUCCACAAUCAGUUAUACUGAUAAAGUUCAUUGACAUAUUGAAAAAGAUACAUGAAAUUAGAUAUUUAUAUCUAAAAUAAAUUAUUGUAACGAGCAAUAAUAAACUCAUUAAAAGACAAAAAGUA